rnacentral:rRNA from 1 species
UACGAAGGGGGCUAGCGUUGCUUGGAAUCACUGGGCGUAAAGCGCACGUAGGCGGAUCUUUAAGUCAGGGGUGAAAUCCCGGAGCUCAACUCCGGAACUGCCUUUGAUACUGGGGAUCUUGAGUUCGAGAGAGGUGAGUGGAACUGCGAGUGUAGAGGUGAAAUUCGUAGAUAUUCGCAAGAACACCAGUGGCGAAGGCGGCUCACUGGCUCGAUACUGACGCUGAGGAGCGAAAGCGUGGGGAGCGAACAGG